UGGAAGGCAGAGGCAGAGAGACACUGACUGCUGCCGCCAUGACAAGAAGAAUGUGAAGACACCGGUGAGCCACCAGCCAUAUGGCAAGGUAGAGAUUUAUGGAAAUGGAUUAAUUUAAGCUAUAAGAACAAUUAGCAAGAAGUCUGCCACAGCCAUACAGUUUGUAUGCAA